GGAGCGAGAACAUGGCGUAUGGCGGCGUGCGAGGCGAUUGUUUUCGGCGGUAAUUAUCGUCAUAUCUUUGUACCGGCGACGUUAUGCGACUGUGUUCGUGUUGUGAAGUGAUCUGGCCGCGUCGGUGAACGCUCUCGGUGAUGUCAGUGAUGUUCAAAUCCACCGUUGUUACCGGAAAUUGCAAAAAAGCAGUGCAACUUCGACAACUCGUGUGAGUACGACGGCCACACGGGCGAUCAGCGGCGGCGGGCCGCCAUGUGCGCUGGAUCGGCGGGCCCAGGAGUGCGUGCUGUAGAGCUGCGAACCUGUGCCUAUUUGGAAUAAAGUGGGACCUCAACAAUAAUAAGAACGCCACCCAUGAAAGCAGAACCCCGGGCUCUCCAUUGGAACUUUAGAGUGGACCACCGCACCGGUAAGCGAAAAUCAGGCCAAAAAUGGCUGUUCACUGCAGUGCGGAAAUAUAUGCUUAUGAUGAAGCACACGAAGAAAAAGCUCAUAUUUUGCCAGCUCAAAAGUGGUGCGGGGCUCAGAAAGAUACAAGUGUUUACAAUAUUUCUUGCACGCGGAGAACAUUGAAGCACUUACACGAGCUGUAAUAUCACUAGAGAUAGACACACAUUCAAGAGCGUCUCACUAAUUUCUGCUGAUUUCAGAACAGUGGUAAGUCUCUGAGUUUAGGCCAGUGUAAAUGCAAGUACAACUGAUUUCCAGUAAGUGUAAGGGACAUAAAUGAGUGCCCCUGAGAGCCAGCUGACAAUGUGGGCCUAUUAAUAAUUACCUGCAAGUGGGAGGAAAUAUGACUGUGAAAUAAACCAGAAGCCCAAGCACAUUGAGUUGAUUUCGAAGAGGCCAAGUAUAUGUGAAAUGUGUUUGUACAUAACGUGAAGAAUGCAACUGAAUGUAUGUUUCUCUCUUUAGUUGCUUGCCAGAGCAUUAUGUGUUUGCGUCUAUUGUCAUGGCUUGAUUACUUUGUUUACACUGUGUAUGCACUCAUUAUAUUCAGAUUAAUUAGGGAUGGACUUUAGUGCUAACAAUGCCAGUGAAAUUUCAAAUACAAUGCUGUAAAUUCAAAGGUCAGACACAUUCGCAUGUCGUUCACAAUCUCUUAUGUGUUAUUCACAUGUGAAGUGUGUGAUAUGGAAUGUUCAGCUUUCUGUAGUAAAUCAUGGACACCUAGUUUUAUAAUGCUGACACGUGCUCUUGCAGAAAGGAGGUAGAAAGAUAGGAAGACAGGCAGGUUCACCGGCAUAAAUACGAGUGAAUGUGUUGAGGAAUGGGUAUAAAGGGAAUGAAAGGCAACAGGAGAGCCUACUUUUAAAAUAGAAAGGAAGAGAAUGUGUGCACAUCAAUGCAAUGCUGUGCACUACAGCAACAACCCACAUGUCAAGUAGCAGGGCAAUGCAAGGGUGUUCAACACAGUCUGAACAAUUAUUCUCUCCGCCAACAAGAUGCAAUUCAGUGCAGUCAAGUGUGGUUUUUAAGCCACACCAAAAUGAGGGCAGUCAAAUAAAAGACCUCGGAUCAUUAUCUCGCAGUCUCAGAAGUUUAUGGUUAACAUUGAGAUCUGUUUCUUGCAAGAUCACUACUAUAUUGGCCUCGAACAACUAUUGAACAAACAUAGCCCUAAGAGGGCCAAGGUGAUGCAGUUUUUGGAAUCAUCUAACAUUGAGUGGCAUUUCUUUUUUCCUUCCAGGUACGACGGUCACCUGGAGGCCCAGGAGUCAUCAGGACAAAUAACUCUGAAUAUAUAUAUAAAUGAUAUCUAAUGUGUUUGUGAUGACGGAGCAAUUAUGUCAAAAUGAAACACAUAUUUAAAAAUGUUUUUUUCUCUUGUUAGCAAUGUAUUCAUAAAAAACUUCACUUGGAUCUCUCUGCAUUCACCCAACCACUGCGGCAUGUAUACAGAGUGUGCUCCGCAAGACAAAAGAUUUUUUAUGUUGCUUGGCUCCCAAAAGAGUUCUUCAAUUCAAAUACGUACAAGGUGUGUUCGAAAAGAAACCAAACUUUUGCUUUAACAUCUUUAUUGCUUAUUGUACAACAUUUUAUGCAUGGCCCCUUCAAAGUAGUCCCCUCUUCUGGCAAUACAUUGUUCCUAUCAUCUCAUCCAUUUUUUGAAAGCCUCCUGGAACACUUUUUCUGGGAUGGCGCGUAGGUCUCGUGUCGCAUUGUCUUGAAAUUUCUUUUAUGGGUUGGAAACGAUGUCCUUUCAACGUGAUUUUAUGUUCGGGAAACAGGAAAAAGGCUUCUUGGGCUAGGUCUGGAAAGUACGGUGGAUGGGGCACGAGAGUGUGAUGUUUUGCUAGAUAGCCGCAGACAAGGAGAGACGCGUGAACUAGGUCAUUGUCAUGUUGCAACAAUUAAGUCUGGGUUUCCCACAAUUCAGGCUUCCUACUGGACACAGCAUCCCACAAACGCGCUAGAAUUCCUUGGUAGACCGCCUUGUUUACCAUCUCACCACGUGGUACAAAUUCCUGAUGGACUAUAUCUUUCCAGUCGGAAACCACCACCAUUACCUUGAUUUUUUUGCUGACUCCUGCGUGCUUUUUUGGACGAGAAGACUGUUCGCCCACCCACUGCGACGACUGCACUUUUGUUUCAAUAUCAGAGCCAUAAACCCACGUCUCAUUGCCUGUUGUGAUGUUACAGAAGUUUUCAUUAUCUCUGCCAGUGGCAUGCAGUUCCCGGCUUAUUUCAACACAGGUGUUUCUGAUCAACAGUCAAGAAACGCGGCACGAAUUUUGCACUGACACGAUGCAUCUCAAGUUUGUCAUUCACAAUAGGAUGCCAUGAUCCUAUGCUGAUGCCCAUUUCGUCAGCUAGUUCUCAAACAGCUAAACGACGAUUUCCACGAAUCACAGCACGCACUCUCUCGACAUGGUCAUCAUCUGUUAAUGUGGAAGGUCGUCCAGGCUUGGGAUCGUCACCAACCGACAUUCUGCCUUGUUCAACAUGCUUAAACUACUCAUAGCACUGAGUGCGACUCAUACAGUUUUCCCCAUAUGCUUGGUUGGGCAAUUGAAAUGUCUCUGUGAAAAUUUUGCCAAGUUUGUAGCAAAAUUUCACACACACACGUUCUUCUACAUCCUCUUUCGUUGUUACUUUGGCACUAAUCCAACAAACAGCUUGUACACGUGCGCACUUCGGCGGCAGUAGCUCACCAACCAAUGGUCAGAGCAAAACGCGGUAAAUGGCAGUUUGUUGUCUAAACCCGCUGCUACAUGCGUUCAGUAGCCGCAGCGUGCUCUUUGCCGGUUUGCGUGCUAUUUCAAAAGUUUGGUUUCUUUUUGAACACACCUUGCACAUUUUCAUGCAGCACUUUCAUUCUUUCUUUUUUUCAUUCUAGUCAUGGAUAGCUAUUUUUCAUUAAAGCUGGGAGCACUUAGCUGUCUAAAUUCCUCAUUAGAUAACUUAUCUAUAGAAAAUGUGGCCUUACAGUAAGUUUAGUACAUAUGUGUGUUCUGUUCCUCAUGUUGUAGUUAUCUGCUAUUUUAUGUAGUUUUGGUUAUAAACAAAACUUUCUUUAAUGAACAAGAAAACGGUAAACUGAAAGGCCCAACUCUUGUUGGUCGCAACUGCAGGAAGUACGUGCAAGUUAAUGCGUUAUGCUUGUUUCACAUUUUAAAAGCUGCAGGCACUAACACUGCCUAUCUGCUUUUGUAUUUCCUGUAGCAGUGUGGCUUUUAUUUGUUACUGUCAGAGCUGGGUAUAUAAGUCCCCAUUCUGUGUUGAAAACCUACAGUGAAACUAUGCUGGACACUUUUCACUUUGUUGUGUUGUAAAUAAAUCAUUCUCUUUUGAAAAA